CUGUUAGGCUUUUGCCACGUGAUUAAUAUUUGCCAAUAGAAAGUCAUGCAUUUGAGGUGGACAUCGAAAGAUGGUGUUUGGCGGUAUUGACGGGAUAAGCCCGAUCAGCCACACGUUGUUGUAUGAUUUUUGUGGCGUUCCAUUAUUUUGAAUAGUACAAUGAUAUUUAUUGUAUAUGACAGUUGUUAGUGACAAAAAGGAGAAUUGUAUUGUUUACAAAUGAUGAGAAUUCAGAUGUAGAGGAAUACGAAGCUAGCAAAAUUGUUAAAAAGGUGGAACUUACUACAGCUCGUACCAGUAUAAAAGAAUCUCUGUGACCUUUGAAGGAAUCUAAUAAAGACAGAUCAAUUCCAGGACAUUACAAAAACCAUUCAUCACUAGACAAAAUUCA